GUGGGUAGUUUGACUGGGGCGGUCUCCUCCCAAAGAGUAACGGAGGAGCACGAAGGUUAGCUAAUCCUGGUCGGACAUCAGGAGGUUAGUGCAAUGGCAUAAGCUAGCUUGACUGCGAGCGUGACGGCGCGAGCAGGUGCGAAAGCAGGUCAUAGUGAUCCGGUGGUUCUGAAUGGAAGGGCCAUCGCUCAACGGAUAAAAGGUACUCCGGGGAUAACAGGCUGAUACCGCCCAAGAGUUCAUAUCGACGGCGGUGUUUGGCACCUCGAUGUCGGCUCAUCACAUCCUGGGGCUGAAGUAGGUCCCAAGGGUAUGGCUGUUCGCCAUUUAAAGUGGUACGCGAGCUGGGUUUAGAACGUCGUGAGACAGUUCGGUCCCUAUCUGCCGUGGGCGCUGGAGAAUUGAGGGGGGCUGCUCCUAGUACGAGAGGACCGGAGUGGACGCAUCACUGGUGUUCGGGUUGUCAUGCCAAUGGCACUGCCCGGUAGCUAAAUGCGGAAGAGAUAAGUGCUGAAAGCAUCUAAGCACGAAACUUGCCCCGAGAUGAGUUCUCCCUG
rnacentral:rRNA from 1 species